AGCGAACGCUGGCGGCAGGCCUAACGCAUGCAAGUCGAACGAACUCUUCGGAGUUAGUGGCGGACGGGUGAGUAACACGUGGGAACGUGCCUUUUGGUUCGGAAUAACUCAGGGAAACUUGUGCUAAUACCGAAUGUGCCCUUCGGGGGAAAGAUUUAUCGCCAUUAGAGCGGCCCGCGUCUGAUUAGCUAGUUGGUGAGGUAACGGCUCACCAAGGCGACGAUCAGUAGCUGGUCUGAGAGGAUGACCAGCCACACUGGGACUGAGACACGGCCCAGACUCCUACGGGAGGCAGCAGUGGGGAAUCUUGCGCAAUGGGCGAAAGCCUGACGCAGCCAUGCCGCGUGAAUGAUGAAGGUCUUAGGAUUGUAAAAUUCCUUCACCGGGGACGAUAAUGACGGUACCCGGAGAAGAAGCCCCGGCUAACUUCGUG
rnacentral:rRNA from 1 species